UACGUAGGUGGCAAGCGUUGUCCGGAAUUACUGGGUGUAAAGGGCGUGUAGGCGGGACUGCAAGUCAGAUGUGAAAUACCGUGGCUUAACUACGGGGGUGCAUCUGAAACUGUGGUUCUUGAGUGUCGGAGAGGAAAGUGGAAUUCCCAGUGUAGCGGUGAAAUGCGUAGAGAUUGGGAGGAACACCAGUGGCGAAGGCGGCUUUCUGGACGAUAACUGACGCUGAGGCGCGAAAGCGUGGGUAG
rnacentral:rRNA from 1 species